UCCCUCUCAAGGUCGCACCUGGAGAGUUUCCAGUACUCUACCAGUCUCGGCUAUGGGAGGGAAAGUCAGGCAGAGGCAUAUCCACUCCAUUCCUAGCUUGGCCAGUGGCUAGCGAGUGGAAGGCCAUCUGCUACAAGU
rnacentral:snoRNA from 1 species